rnacentral:tmRNA from 1 species
GGGGGCGUACUGGUUUCGACGGGGGUUUGGAGACAUUGGUAGCGAGUCGUGUUUCGCUUGGUAGCACAAAAAAACUGAGCACCUAAAUAUAAAAGCAAAUAAUAAUUACGCAUUAGCUGCCUAAUAUAACGGCAGCUCGUUUCUCCCUAGCCACCCGCUGCUAGGACAGAAACGUCAUUUUCGCGGGGAACGCCUUAGGGGAUGCCCUGACCCUAAGCUGUACAAUUAGGGCUAGCUAAACCUGUAGUAUGUUAUUGGACGACAGGGGCGGCGAUAUUUAAAACAAUAACUACACUCGUAGAAACUGAUGGUGAAGGGCCUUCGGACAGGGGUUCGACUCCCCUCGCCUCCACCA